UCGAGGAUCUUCCGCAAUGGGCGCAAGCCUGACGGAGCGACGCCGCGUGUGGGAUGAAGGCCUUCGGGUUGUAAACCACUGUCGCCGGUUAUGAAAGGGCCUGGUGUUAACAGCAUCAGGAACUGACAAAGGCCGGAAAGGAAGCCACGGCUAACUUCGUGCCAGCAGCCGCGGUAAGACGAAGGUGGCGAGCGUUGUUCGGAAUCACUGGGCAUAAAGCGCACGUAGGCGGCGGCGUAAGUCGGAUGUGAAAUCCCUCGGCCCAACCGAGGAACUGCGUCCGAUACUGCGUUGCUUGAGGACCAAAGGGGUGCAUGGAAUUCCCGGUGGAGCGGUGAAAUGCGUUGAUAUCGGGAGGAACGCCGGCGGCGAAAGCGGUGCACUGGUUGGUUUCUGACGCUGAGGUGCGAAAGCCAGGGGAGCAAACGGGAUUAGAUACCCCCGUAGUCC
rnacentral:rRNA from 1 species